AUUCCCUUAGUAACGGCGAGUGAACAGGGAUUAGCCCAGCACCGAAGCCUGUGGUCGCUUGACUGCUAGGCAAUGUGGUGUUUAGGUUGGUUCUUGGCAUUACUGCUUUAUCCCAAGUCCAGCAAUGAGUACGGCUUGUUGGAGUGGCCCAAAGAGGGUGAAAGGCCCGUGGGGGUUUAGCUAGUUUUGCCCUGAGCUGACCUUGGAGUCGGGUUGUUUGAGAAUGCAGCCCAAAGCGGGUGGUAAACUCCAUCCAAGGCUAAAUACUGACACGAGUCCGAUAGCGAACAAGUACCGUGAGGGAAAGUUGAAAAGUACUUUGAAGAGAGAGUAAACAGUGCGUGAAACCGCUCAGAGGUAAACGGGUGGAGUUGAACUGCAAUCCGUGAGGAUUCAGCUGAUGAGAUUGGCUUGAGCUUGGGCAUAUUUACCGGCCUUCGGGGUCCGCGCAUUGCGGGUUCCUGCCCUUUUUGGGUGGGGAUGCACGAGUACUAAUCAGGUGCCGUGUGCCUCGGGGGUUUUGGGUUUUCUCGUCAGUGCACUUUCUCAUGGUGUUCACCACGACCGGCGCUGUGUCUGUCUACCAUGGUCGAACCGGUUAGGCUUGGUGCAUCACUAGGCCUGGUCGGGAUGGCAGGUAGCUCACUGGUUCUUGUUGGCUUCGGCUGGCUUGAGCCUCCGAGUGUAAUUAGCUGGCUUUGGUAGAUCUGUGCCAUGCGUCGGAGCUGGCGGCUAUGGUGUGUGCGUGCGUGCUAUGGCUUUCUGACGGGGCUGGGUCUGGUUGGCAAGUUACCUGCUCAUGCAGGUCGUCAAUGUCUCAGUCUCGUUCGGCUGGCGGUGGCGUGCGUGACACUAGCUUUGGCCAAUAGUCUGUGGUGUAGUGGUAAACUAUCCACCCGACCCGUCUUGAAACACGGACCAAGGAGUUUAACAUGUACGCGAGUCAUUGGGCUUUACGAAACCCAAAGGCGCAGUGAAGGUAAAGGUUCGGCUUGUCCGGACUGAGGUGGGAUCCUGUUGUUUCUUCUGCCUGGAACUGCCAAGCAUCCGAGCUUCAGGCGCACCACCGGCCCGUCCCAUGGCGUAGUCAUGUAAUUUCUUAUGUGCACCGUCGGGGCGGAGCUAGAGCGUACACGUUGAGACCCGAAAGAUGGUGAACUAUGCUUGUGCAGGCUGAAGCCAGAGGAAACUCUGGUGGAGGGCCGCAGCGAUUCUGACGUGCAAAUCGAUCGUCUAACAUGAGUAUAGGGGCGAAAGACUAAUCGAACCAUCUAGUAGCUGGUUCCCUCUGAAGUUUCCCUCAGGAUAGCUGGCAUUCUGAGAUAUAAACAGUUUUAUCCGGUAAAGCGAAUGAUUAGAGGCAUUGGGGAGAAAUUAUCCUCAACCUAUUCUCAAACUUUAAAUGGGUGAGAAGCUACACUCGCUUGAGUGGAGUGGGGCCUUGAAUGUGAGUGCCAAGUGGGCCAUUUUUGGUAAGCAGAACUGGCGCUGUGGGAUGAACCAAACGACCGGUUAAGGUGCCUAACGCGACGCUCAUGAGAUACCACAAAAGGUGUUGGUUGGUCCUGACAGCAGGACGGUGGCCAUGGAAGUCGGAAACCGCUAAGGA
rnacentral:rRNA from 1 species